rnacentral:rRNA from 1 species
GACGAACGCUGGCGGCGUGCUUAACACAUGCAAGUCGAACGGAAAGGCCCCGCUUUUGUGGGGUGCUCGAGUGGCGAACGGGUGAGUAACACGUGAGUAACCUGCCCUUGACUUUGGGAUAACUUCAGGAAACUGGGGCUAAUACCGGAUAGGAGCUCCUGCUGCAUGGUGGGGGUUGGAAAGUUUCGGCGGUUGGGGAUGGACUCGCGGCUUAUCAGCUUGUUGGUGGGGUAGUGGCUUACCAAGGCUUUGACGGGUAGCCGGCCUGAGAGGGUGACCGGCCACAUUGGGGCUGAGAUACGGCCCAGACUCCUACGGGGGGCAGCGGUGGGGAAUAUUGCACAAUGGGCGGAAGCCUGAUGCAGCAACGCCGCGUGCGGGAUGACGGCCUUCGGGUUGUAAACCGCUUUCGCCUGUGACGAAGCGUGAGUGACGGUAAUGGGUAAAGAAGCACCGGCUAACUACGUG